ACUACACAGUAAAAUCAGCAGUGUAAUAUUUGCAGUGUUAAAAGUUAUUAAUUCCCAAAGAGUUGAAUUAACAAUCUACAGUGUUAAACAGUGGUGUUCAGUGUUGUCACAGGGUGUAAUAUUUAUGUAAUUUCACUUUUAGUGUAAGUGAAAAACUGAAAGUGUAACAAAGUGUAAAAAAAACAAAUUCCCGCCGAAUUGAUCUGACUCCGCCCCUCAAGCACCGCUGCCUCAAAGCGACGACGCCAUUUUAUCUUCAUGCGACCGAGACGUUAAAAUGGAUUGCUUUUCUCUUUAUAAAAUUACACGGGAUAAAUACUUUUUGUUGAUAAUUUUACUCAAAAUAUGAUUGGUGGUGAACACAUUUAGAAAUUACUAACUGCAAGUGUUUUUGUCAGGUUUACGGUGUUAUGUUCGUGAGGUGUAGAGAUGCAACGUUAGCCUACAGAAGAGUUAAAGUUUCUAAUGCGGGCUCGAUUUCCUGAAAUAAGAUCCUCUGGUCUCUAUUCCCGCCGAGGCCUGGUUUUACUACGAGUCUGAAGCAGCCACAUUUGGGCGGUUUUCUACUCAGAGGAGAGAAUUCAUCAAAUGAAUUGGCCCAGACGUCUGCAGUGUCAAGUGAAGGAAGCUCCUCUCAUAAGUAGGGUUGGGUAUCGUUUGGGUUUUUUUCGAUACCGGUGCCAAAUCGAUACUUUUAAAACGGUACCGGUGCCUAAACGGUGCCUGAACUGAUACUUAAAAAUAAUAAAAAUAAAUAAAAAUGACCAAUUAAUAAUUGGAUUGGCCAUUAGCACUAAACACAUGAUGUCUUUUUCAUUCAUACUGGAUGCCAGAGGGCGCCCUCGCGCAAAAAAUCCACAUAUCCAGUCACAGAAGUAGCGGAACUCAUGAAGCUCCAGGAAAUCCCCAAUAUGGACAAAUGCAUUGCUAUGGAUGUAACUGAGUAAACUAGAUAUAAAUGUUUUGAAUGAUAAAACAAAUACAAUAAACACUCGGCUACAACAAUGUAUAGUUUAUCUGUGUUAUUCAAGCCAUCUCUGGUAUUUUCAUAAUAAUUAAGUAUAUUUAUAAUCCAUUUCUAAUCGAUGUAUUAGUAGCCUAUGGAACAUAUUUUCUGCCUCAUUCUGUGACAAGAAGCUACAUCAGAUCACAAAAGGAAGCAUUUAACUGGUUUUGUGGACUAAAAAGGUUAUAAUGUUCUCUUUUGUUGGACAACAGGUUUAAAAACGUGAAUACAAGAGAAUUUUAGCUUUAGGCAUUUUAAUUUAAGAAUGUUUAGCUAAGCUAGUUAAUGGAGGGCUACCUGCUGCAGUCAGAGCAAGUGUAAUUUCUGCAUUCACGCGCUCCUCAGAUGCUCUCAUUUCCAGAGUUGUGCUUUUAAGUCGGAAUGUGAAAACAGCACGCUCGCGUUACUACAAAGAUUUAUUGGACUUGUAUUAUUAGAGCUUUCCGACUUGAGUUCACGUGCAUUUUUUCAGUCGGGAAAUUAUUUUUCACGUGCGGUGACGGUGAUGAUGCUUCUUACGUUCGUUUUGGAGAAACAAAGGACAAAUAUUUAAAUCGAUCGCUCAGGCAUGGCACCGAAAUGAGGCACCGAAAUCUGCGUUCUGAUUCGGUUCUAGUACAUACCGGUUACAUAGGUACCGGUGCCAUAUUGGUACCGGGUUUCGGUACCCAACCCUACUCAUAAGAUUGCAGACCUGGAGUCUGAUGACACUGAGCAAGAGUGAUGGAGUGAGCAGAAUGAUGAAGAUGAAGCC